rnacentral:rRNA from 1 species
AUUGAACGCUGGCGGCAGGCCUAACACAUGCAAGUCGAGCGGAUGAAGGAGCUUGCUCCUGAUUCAGCGGCGGACGGGUGAGUAAUGCCUAGGAAUCUGCCUAUUAGUGGGGGAUAACUCGGGGAAACUCGGGCUAAUACCGCAUACGUCCUACGGGAGAAAGUGGGGGAUCUUCGGACCUCACGCUAAUAGAUGAGCCUAGGUCGGAUUAGCUAGUUGGUGAGGUAACGGCUCACCAAGGCGACGAUCCGUAGCUGGUCUGAGAGGAUGAUUAGCCGAACUGGAACUGAGACACGGUCCAGACUCCGACGGGAGGCAGCAGUGGGGAAUAUUGGAAAAUGGGCGAAAGCCUGAUCCAGCCAUGCCGCGUGUGUGAAGAAGGUCUUCGGAUUGUAAAGCACUUUAAGUUGGGAGGAAGGGUAUUCACCUAAUACGUGGGUACUUUGACGUUACCAACAGAAUAAGCACCGGCUAACUCUGUGCCAGCCGCCGCAGUAAGAC